rnacentral:rRNA from 2 species
UCAGGUAGGAAUACCCGCUGAACUUAAGCAUAUCAA